rnacentral:rRNA from 1 species
UACAGAGGUCCCAAGCGUUGUUCGGAUUCAUUGGGCGUAAAGGGUGCGUAGGUGGCGCGCUAAGUCAGGUGUGAAAUCUCGGGGCUUAACUCCGAAACUGCAUUUGAUACUGGCGUGCUUGAGGACUGGAGAGGAGACUGGAAUUCAUGGUGUAGCAGUGAAAUGCGUAGAGAUCAUGAGGAAGACCAGUGGCGAAGGCGGGUCUCUGGGCCGUAACUGACGCUGAGGAGCGAAAGUGUGGGGAGCGAACAGG